GUCCACGCCCUAAACUAUGUGCACUAGGUAUUGGCAGUAUCGACCCUGCCGGUGCCGUUUAAAAGCUAACGCGUUAAGUGCACCGCCUGGGGAGUACGAUCGCAAGAUUAAAACUCAAAGGAAUAGACGGGGACCCGCACAAGCGGUGGAUCAUGUGGUUCAAUUCGAUAGCAAACGAGAAACCUCACCUGGGUUUGAAAUCUAGCUGCAUCCCCCUGAGAAAUUGGGGGAGCCUUCGAGGGUGCUAGACAGGUGCUGCAUGGUUGUCGU
rnacentral:rRNA from 1 species